rnacentral:rRNA from 1 species
UUGCGAAACCUUUACAAUGUGUUAACGCACGAUAAGGGGAUCCGAAGUGCUGCAGCUCUGCUGCAGCUUUUGCUGAGUUCAAACAGCUUGGUGAAUAAGGGGUGGGUAAGACAGGUGCCAGCCGCCGCGGUAAUACCUGCGCCCCAAGUGGUACCCAGUAUUAGUUGGCCUAAAGCGUCCGUAGCUGGUCUUGUUAGUUCCUAGUGAAAUUCACUGGUAAACUGGUGAGCGUGUUGGGAAUACUGCAAGACUUGGGACCGGGAGAGGGUAGAGGUACUCCUAGGGAAGGGGUAAAAUCCUAUAAUCCUAGGGGGACCACCGGUGGCGAAGGCGUCUACCUAGAACGGGUCCGACAGUGAGGGACGAAAGCUAGGGGAGCGAUCGGG